rnacentral:rRNA from 1 species
AUUAGGGUUCGAUUCCGGAGAGGGAGCCUGAGAACGGCUACCACAUCCAAGGCUUGCAGCAGGCGCGCAAAUUACCCAAUCCCGACACGGGGAGGUAGUGACAAUAAAUAACAAUACGGGGCUCUUUCGGGUCUCGUAAUUGGAAUGAGUACAAUUUAAAUCCCUUAACGAGGAACAAUUGGAGGGCAAGUCUGGUGCCAGCAGCCGCGGUAAUUCCAGCUCCAAUAGCGUAUAUUAAAGUUGUUGCAGUUAAAAAGCUCGUAGUUGAAUUUCGGGAUUGACACAUCGGUCGUGCCUUAAGGGGUAUGAACUGGUGUAGUCAAUUUCUCACCUUCUGGAGAACCGCGAUGCCCUUAAUUGGGUGUCGCGGGGAACUAGGACCUUUACUUUGAAAAAAUUAGAGUGUUUAAAGCAGGCAUUUUGCUUGAAUACAUUAGCAUGGAAUAAUAAAAUAGGACGGCAUGAUUCUAUUUUGUUGGUUUCUAGGAUCACCGUAAUGAUUAAUAGGGAUAGUUGGGGGCAUUAGUAUUCAAUUGUCAGAGGUGAAAUUCUUGGAUUUAUUGAAGACUAACUACUGCGAAAGCAUUUGCCAAGGAUGUUUUCAUUAAUCAAGAACGAAAGUUAGGGGAUCGAAGACGAUCAGAUACUGUCGUAGUCUUAACCAUAAACUAUGCCGACUAGGAAUCAGACGAUGUUAAUUUUUUAAUGACUCGUUUGGCACCUUACGGGAAACC